AUUGAACGCUGGCGGCAUGCCUUACACAUGCAAGUCGAACGGCAGCACGGGUGCUUGCACCUGGUGGCGAGUGGCGAACGGGUGAGUAAUACAUCGGAACAUGUCCUGUAGUGGGGGAUAGCCCGGCGAAAGCCGGAUUAAUACCGCAUACGAUCUACGGAUGAAAGCGGGGGACCUUCGGGCCUCGCGCUAUAGGGUUGGCCGAUGGCUGAUUAGCUAGUUGGUGGGGUAAAGGCCUACCAAGGCGACGAUCAGUAGCUGGUCUGAGAGGACGACCAGCCACACUGGGACUGAGACACGGCCCAGACUCCUACGGGAGGCAGCAGUGGGGAAUUUUGGACAAUGGGCGAAAGCCUGAUCCAGCAAUGCCGCGUGUGUGAAGAAGGCCUUCGGGUUGUAAAGCACUUUUGUCCGGAAAGAAAUCCUU
rnacentral:rRNA from 1 species